UGUGUUGCAAAGAUAAGCCAUUAAUCACAGCCUAAUAAAUACUAAGAAAAUUACUCAGUAUGGAUUUGUGGUGGGGGUUUGGCACAGAUGCCACUGCAGCUGGAGAAUAUGGGGAAUUUCAGCAUACAGGAUAAGAAGCCUGCAGAUCAUGAUUCCCUUGUUCCCCUUGGUCAGGUGUCUUAUACUUUUUUGAGUGUCUGUAGUUGCACUGGGACUCACUCACAUAAGGAUGGGCUGCCUUUACAUUUGGCCAUUGUUGGAAUGCAUCAGACUGCACUGAUAGCAACUACAAUUCAAAGCAGAUUUCUUGACAAAUGCUGGAAAUCUGUGCUAAUUCCUAAAGUUAACAUGCAAAACCAGUGAUACACAAAGCUGAAGAAACAGUAGGCUUAUAUGGGAAAGGUUAUUCCUUCAUAUUUAGAAAUGGAGGGAAGGUUACACUACACUGCAUGCUACUUUUAAUCCAUGAAAGCUUUACAUGCAAAAUUAUUUGGAUUAUAAAAGGGAGUUUUCUAAGGGAGUCGGGUUUAACAAAAAAGGAAUAUCUUACCUGUAGGUCUGUGUGGAGCAGCAUUCACAGGAAUUCUCUUUUGCUGUCCCUCCUGUGGCAGUAUCUAUAAGUAAGGCUGGACUUUGAUUGGGCAAAGGUUGAUUUAGAAGAUUAUUUAUUUAACCAAGAUUCACUGAAUAUGUUCAACACCUUGAUAGGCUGCCUUGUCCUUGCUUGCAGAAGUGCUAAUCACAUGCAUGUCUUGGCAGCUUUGAAUUUUGCUCUGCUUAUAAAAACUUAAGUCAAUGAGGUCAUCCGAGGCAAGCCUGAUCUUUACUCUGGGCAAGAAUCUUCUCCAGCUGUAAGAAAUAUCUUAGCAGGAGCAGGUUCGGAUUGUGGUGGAUUGACCUGGGCCAGCAGCAUUUGACUGCAGAUCAAGAGGUUACUGGUUCAAAUCUAUACAUGUUAGAUGCCAGGUAAAGGACUGUGAUGGGUUAACCUUGGCUGGCAACCAAAUGCCCACUGAGCUGCUUUUGCUCCCUUCCUGUACAGAGCAGGAGGGAGAAAAUAGGAUGAAAAGGUUUGAAGAAUUCAAGGUCAUCCAGAAGUGGAAGGAUUUCAAGAUCUAUGUCACUGGGGAAGCCAGCAUGAGCUUGAGUGAAACUUGUAUGUGGCAGUAAGCUUCAUGGUGUUUGAGUCCAUAUAGCCAGUGGCAAGAUCUCAAGAAGUUCAGCAGAAGUACUCACUGUGUCCUGAAGAAGAGGAUGAUGGAAUAAGAACCCUGCAUAAUUAUAUUUACUGCCAGUAAGGUGGAAUAAUAAAGUAGCUAAUGGAUGCUUAAAUCAGUGCAGAAGAUGACUCAGAUCACAGGGUUCCUCGCCAGGCCUGGAGGCAGCAGCCCUGUACUGGUGUUCCAAAUGGCAGCUUUGGCAAUGCUGGUAUCAGAUCACGGUAUGCUGGAAGUGAUUUAGGCAUCUACCCCAAAUUAUCUGGAAGAAGGAGAGACCGUGAAUUUAAAUUGCCUCAUCAAGCAUCAGCAGGAUCAGUCAUCACAAAUGGAGGCUCGCUGGUAUAAAAAACCAAAGAAGCAAAAUGAGUCUGGGUUUGCAAAGACAUGGAAGGUUUGCACCACUCCUGAAACUUAAACCUGAAAAGUCACGUCCUCUCUUGCUUCUGAAAAUUCAGAAUAUCAACCAGACAGUGGCCACACUCAAUGCAGAGCCAAAAUAAAGAACACUGUCCUGACUGCUAUGGGCCUCUUUAUUAGGGUGAAUGUAACAGGGCUUGUGCCGUGAAAACCCUGUCUGUGGAGUCUGGGCUGCUUUGCUUAAACAAGAUAGGUUUCCUGAGAUACUGUAAGAACAACUUCAUUUUAUCGUGCAUGAUGAAUAUCCGGGAUUCAUGUUGUGUUUCAUGGCUCACUUAAAGCUUUCAAGGGACUUAUUUCUGGAAUUGCUGGUACUGGUUCUUUGGGAUUAUUCACA